GCAUCCAGACAAAUUCCAUUCUAGAGGUUUCAAAGUACUAGGCGGUAUUGCAAAUAGGAUUGAAAAUAAGUCGGACUGAGCCAGACCACACCCCUCCUUAAGUUCGAUCCAAAAUUUUUUUCAGACUUCAGACCAGAUCUAGGAUCUAGAAUCCAAUCGUCGAGCUACUUCGACCAUCAUCAGAGUAGAUGAGUGGGCCAAAGACAGUCCGACGAUGGUUCGACUUCGAAUCUCUGCUGUCGAAGGCAGUAGGACUACUCUUGCCAAAGAGC
rnacentral:lncRNA from 1 species